AAAACAUAGCCCCUUGAAAUUAAUAAGGGGUAUCGCCUGCCCAAUGGAAAAUCUCUUAAUGGCCGCGGUAUCUUGACCGUGCAAAGGUAGCAUAAUCAUUUGUCUCUUAAAUGGGGACCUGUAUGAAUGGCAUUACAUUUUCUAACUGUCUCCUCUUUUCCCCUUCUAAACUUCUACUAACGUGAAGAAGCGUUAAUUAAAAAGAAAGACGAGAAGACCCUGUCGAGCUUAAACUUCCUAUAAAAAUUUAAUUCUUUUAAGAAUAAUUAUUAUUUAUAAAGAAGUUUUGGUUGGGGCAACCAUGGAGAAAACCAAUCCUCCAGUAAAAUAAAAAGAUUCAUUAAUCAUAUAUAAAAAGUAUUAGACCCAGAUAUACUGGUCAACAGAAAUAGUUACCGCAGGGAUAACAGCGUCAUCUCCUUUAAGAGUCCGUAUUGACAAGGAGGAUUGCGACCUCGAUGUUGGAUUGGGGCCACCCAGGGGUGCAGCAGCUCCUGAG
rnacentral:rRNA from 1 species